AAAAAAAAUAUUGAUGGUUUCAUACAUAGCUAUUCCAUAAGUCAGAAUAUUUAGAACAUAGAAACAUCACUAUCAACUGUUUCCAUCAACCAGAGAUACAAAUUCACAUGUCUUCAGAUACAAUUUCAUAGAAUUUACAUACAUGAAUCGAAGGUCAACGAAAACAGGGGUGCAACAUCUAAAAACACAUAAGUGCAUCAACUAAAUAUACACAAGAAGAGACCUCAUUUUCUAUAAUCUUUUGUUGCCAGCUUAAGUUGCAAGCUUCUCUUCAAGGUUGCCCUGCAAUGGACAUAUAAUUGAACUUGUAAAAAUGUGCAGGUGUCAACAGUUUGCUACAAAAAGGUAACGAGAAAAAGAACAAUAUCUAUAAGAUAUAAUAAGCAUAAUCUACUUGGUAUCACAGGUUCUCGCAAUAACAUUGGCAUAUAUACCCAACUUGUUUUUCUCACAGCAAAGUUACCCACUUUUACAGCUUGUAGACUAAUAAUGGAGUAAUUUGUUCUAGCAUCAUAUCUCAUAUUUGAUACAAAUCAUGCAACUGACAAAAACCAUUUAAAUGACAACCCGAGCACAUGCUUCUGGAUUAGCUUGACAGAAUUAUCAGCUAACUUCCUGAGCAGAUGAGUCAUUAGAGACUUCUUGCAAGAAAUCACAUUACCAAUGUCAAUACUCUUAAGUCUAUCCAUUUCAAAUGUUCAAGAGAAUGGCCAGAGUCAUCAUCAUCUCCAUAAGAAUAAAAAAAGCCAAAACAUUAUGCAAUUAUUCGAUAAUGUAACAACAUGGGAGCUGAACAUCACGGUGAGACAAUAAAAGACCCCAAAGAAAUAGAAAGAGGUUGUGUUCAGACUAAACCAACAUAGCAACUAGUGGCUCAAUAAUGUUGAUCUCAUGAUCUUGGGCACACUUGACAUAGCAUGAUAUGUUUUUAAUAUACACGAGAAAACUUGACUGGCAAUUAUUCCUGAUAAAACUUUGGGAAUGAUGGUGAAAGUAAAAGUAAAAAUACCUUCAUUAGAAGCUCUUGCAUCUCUCAUAGACCCUGAAUCUUGAAUUUUGCUCCGAAUAAUAGGUUACGAAUUCACAUAUCUUCUGAUGUAAUUGCAUAGAAUUUACACACACGAAUCAAAUGUCAACAAAAAUAGAGGUACAACUUCUCAAAAAAGCACAUGUGGAUCAACUAAAUAUUCACAAUUUGAGACCAUUUUCUACAAUGUUUUGCUUGACCUUAGGUUGUAAGAUGCUCUUCUUACCCUGCACUGGACAUAACUGAACUUGUAAAAUGUGCAAGUGUGAACCGUUUGCUACAAUAAGGUAACAAGAAACAGGAAUAAUAUACAUAUGAUAUGAUCAGCAUAAUCUAUAUGGUAUCUCAUAUUCUCGCAUUAACAUAAGUAUAUAUAGCCAAAUUCUUUUUUUCACAGCAAAGUUAAAUAAACUGACAGCUAUAUAGACAUGAUAACUGAGUGGUUUCUUCUAAAAUCUUGUGACAAAUUUGAUACAAACACAACAAUUGACAACAUCCAUUCAUCUAUCAGAACUAUCAGUUAUUAGAGGUUUCUUCAAGUUAAGCUCAAACCAUGAUAUCGACAGUAAGUGCAACUUCUCAAUGAUGCAUAACCAGAAGAAUGUACUCUGUUUCAAAAUGCAAGACGUUUUUUGACACUGCCACAUUUUGAGACAGGUUAGUAUAACAAGAAAAUCAGGGGAGUGCCUUUGAAUAAAAUUAUCAAGAAGGAAACAGAAAUGUAGUAACAUUCAUACUGAACAAAAAUAGCAGCUAGGGGCUCAACACAGAUAAGAUGAUCCUGGUCAUACUGGACAAAGAAUGGUAUACAAACAGUAUGAUAAGAUGAAAGAAUAUAAAGGGCAUCAUUACUGCCUAAUAAAACAAAGAGCUAUGCUGCUGAAUAUCACAUUAAGAUAAAAGGGCAACAAACACCAUCUCUAUAUAUAACUGUAUCUGGUCUUACCUGUUAGAAUAUUCUCUAACUCCAUCAGCAUACAUAAAAAAGCAAAUAUGUUUUAUUUGCUUAAGGCUUGAGCAAUUCAUCAAUAACAUCACUACACUGGAAAACAUUUCCAAUUCACUAGUAAUAAUAUAAGCUGCUUACACUACACGACAUUUUCAACAUUGAUAUUCCAAACAUCCAUGCAUAUAUGUCUCUGCUUAAGCAUAAUUAAUUACGUACCUGAUAAUAGAAGUUAAGCCUUCUUCCAAUUAUAUUUUAUUGCUCUGCGUCAGAGUGAAAAUUAGGUGAUCCAUGUGCCUUCAUGUACACAAGGUCAGAACAAAAGUCAAGAUCUGUCAUAAAAAAUCAAGUUUACUUGUAUGCAAACAUGUCAUUGCAUAAAAAAAAGCAUGGCAAUGCACUUGAUACAUACACAAGCAAGAAUAAAGAUGCAAGACAGCAGGAUCUGUGAGGUGGAUCCAUGGAGAGUUCGUCCAGGAUGCGUCUAAGAAAAAUUAUACUGGUGAGCUCCAUGGAGAGUUCGUCCACCCGAUACAUAAUACUCCAUGUCCAUGGAGCCACCACUCACCUGGUCUCUCAUCAUUCAGGAUGCGUCUCUCAACAUAAAGUAGCCGCCGGAUCUGUGAGGGGAUGGUGCUGGAUCUUCUAGGGUAGAGGGGAGGGGAGGAGUCAGCGUUGUCCUCACUGCUUACCGUCGGUGGUGACAACGUGAGGAGGGCGCGCUCGGGCUUGCGGUGAGGCCGCGCGUCGCCGCCAAGGAGCACAAGGCGUGGGUCGCUUGACCGGCGAGAGGAUAGAGAAGGUACAAGAAACGAGGGGAUGUGCAGUCUCAAGGGUGGAUGCGCCGGCCAAAAUGGAGCGGCGGAGUGGCACGACGAAGGAGGCGACCGAUGCUGCUGCUGCUGCGGCGGCGAGGGUUAGGUCUGGCGGCGGCGAGAUGGGGUGGAGACGAGGGAUGGGGCUUCUGAUUUGGGGAUCGAGGGUUUCUAACCACUCCGUAUUUCUUUUUCUACGGGCCUUUUCCU
rnacentral:lncRNA from 1 species